rnacentral:lncRNA from 1 species
CUCAUCAAAAUAGCAUGAAUAAAUCAACACAUUGAGAUUAAAGUAUAUAAAUUGACAAAAUAUGCCACCUUUAUAAACAAUAUCCAAGUGCCUUGUUGUAAUUGAUCCCAGAUAACCCAGCCUACAUGGAUAAUAUAUAUUUGUAAGUGAUCACAGAGCUUUGGCAGCCAAGAUAUAUUUUAGUGCCCUGCAAUCAGCUCCUUUCUCCCUCUCUGCAAAAAGAGUACAUGAGAAAUUUUGGAAUACAUGUUCGCUAAACAAAAUGCAUUAUAAAAUAAGACAAUCUACAGUAAUAAUAUGAGACUACACAUCUAUACAACCCUACAGUUUCAGAUUUCCUAGUUCGAAGCCAUUUUUUCACUUAUUAUGAAGUUGACCCAUACAUAUUGCACAUAUGUCAUUCUUUCUUCAAUCAAUCUCAUAAAAAAAUACAAAUACAAAGUAGAGAUUGACGAUCAACUUAUUACUCUAAUCUGCUGAGAAAAAUAAAAAAUGAGGCAUCACUCAGAAGAAAACUGAUGUGUUAUUUAUUUCGUAUAGACCACCAGUUUAUGUUUAGGUUGAAGAUUUCCAACUGAAGAAAGUAGACAAUGAAAUUGAUGAGCAAUUAAAUAGUACAACCAAACCUUCUCUUCAACACUACUCUAUUUCUAGUCGAUAGGUUUUGACAUGGAUGAACUUGAUUGGACGAUGGUAAGAGUAGUAGCAGGAAACUAUACACCAUAUCAAGAUCAAUCAUACAGUCCAAAAUGGUCAUCAUCAGAGUGCAAAAAAUCAGGAACCUUAAAACAAUGGAGCUCAAAUUUGAGAAGGAUCAGUAGUUGUCGCCUAGCCGCUACCGCUGAAAGAGGUGCAGGACCAGCCAACCCCGCAUAUGGGCGUGACGGUCAACGGCCUGACCGCUCAAACCCACCAUUACUUCAACAGAACCAUCUAAGUUCUCAAGCUCAUCGUCUCCAACAGUCGAAUGCCAACAUGUCUGACUGCCUAUUUGGGAUUGGAGUUACAGGGAGUGCCUAAUUUUUAUGUAUCUAUAUUAAUUUACUUUUCUUCAGGUUCUAUCUCUCAACUAAGUAAUCUAAUGCAGAAUGUUGAUUAAUCUAAUGCAGUCGAAUGCCAACAUGUCUGAAUGCUCAUAGGAUAUUCAUGUCUAAUCCAUCUUCCAUGUUUUCAUGUUAUAUUCAGAUGAAUCAGAUCUUUACAUAAUGCUACUUUUUGGGAUACUGCAUCCGACGAUUCUUUUGAAGAUGCACGGCACACGGAAUACCUUUUGCCUUGAUAUGCUGCUGAAGAACUGUUGAUGGUGCUCUAAUCAGCAACACCUCACUACCGCCCCGUGGAAACAAUGCCUCUACUCCUCUACCUAGAACAACUCUUCCUAAUUAAAAUUCUCUUACAGAAGUAUUAACUGGAGGGACGGGGAUCAAUAUAACCCAUCUUUAUCCAGACCCAAAAGAAUAUGAAUCUUGAUUUGGGACGAAGGCAGGGUUCUUGGAACCAGGAAAUCAAGAGGCAGACUAACUACAUGUGUUGAAUUAGCUGAUGAGACAAAGGGAGUAGUACCUGUUGGGCGGAAGCGUGACGGCCAUCUGGACGAUUGCUCUCCUGGGGAAGCCGGUUCCACCAGCGGCGCUGCCAAGUCAUGGUGGGAUAUGCCACUCAAGUUGAAGGUCGUGGUAGGGGGACACGCUCGUUGCCAUGGCGCUGGUCCGGGUCGCUAGCAAGUGCAACAAAAAAAAAGUUAAAACCCUUAAAUUUUGUGCACUGAAAUUAAUAUACAUACAUACAACAGGGAGUUAAAGUCCAAACCUGAUCGAAAAAGACGUAACCAAAAACUAUGUAGUUGAACAAUUUCAGAAAUAUCUAGCAGUUGAUUCUUUCAGCCAUAUGAAAAUACCUGUUAACGGGAAAGUAGUAUUAGACGAUAUCCACUAUAGAUAAAAAAAAGACAAGCUUAGUUGAAGCAUCUGUGUAAUAUUGAAAGAGCCUUUUCAUCGAGAUAAACCUGCAAGUAUACAUCAGACCAAACAGAAUUGUGAAGAUUCUGAAAAAAGAAAUAAGACCUAUGAAGCAAGUUUUUGGAGAAGAGAUUAAACAUUCAUUAGCAGUAGUAUUCCUAGAACUGUACUGCCUGCGAGUAUAUAUCGGCCUAUUUAUCCAUCUCUUGUUGAAAAAAAAAGCUAUUUUACUGAAUUCAAAAAUCGCUGAACACUGUCAGAUCACGAACAAAGUAGAGAUGUAUUCCGGCAAACGCACUUCACUUUCAUCCUACCGCUGAAAAAAACAAUUCCAAGUGAAACUCACAUCGGUAGUAGGAGGCGUGCCGAUCUUAGGCACCCGGUGCUGGACGACGGGGUUGAUGUCGGCGGAUCUCGGGACCGGUGGAAGCAGCCUGGGUGGAAGGAGAGGCGCGGCCUGGCCGCCGAGGCCGACGGCGGCAAGUUGGGCUCGGACCUGAAGGGGCCGACGGUGGAGCGCGAGCGCGGUGUGGAUGGCGUGCCGCCGCCGGUGCCUGCGGUUGUGGUGCUCCUCCUGGAGCCGCCAGGGCCCGGG